rnacentral:rRNA from 1 species
UACGUAGGGUCCGAGCGUUGUCCGGAAUUACUGGGCGUAAAGAGCUCGUAGGUGGUUUGUCGCGUUGUUCGUGAAAACUCACAGCUCAACUGUGGGCGUGCGGGCGAUACGGGCAGACUAGAGUACUGCAGGGGAGACUGGAAUUCCUGGUGUAGCGGUGGAAUGCGCAGAUAUCAGGGAGGAACACCGGUGGGCGAAGGCGGGUCUCUGGGCAGUAAACUGACG